rnacentral:rRNA from 1 species
GGCCAGACUCCUACGGGAGGCAGCAGUGGGGAAUAUUGCACAAUGGGGGGAACCCUGAUGCAGCGACGCCGCGUGAGUGAAGAAGUAUUUCGGUAUGUAAAGCUCUAUCAGCAGGGAAGAAAAUGACGGUACCUGACUAAGAAGCCCCGGCUAACUACGUGCCAGCAGCCGCGGUAAUACGUAGGGGGCAAGCGUUAUCCGGAUUUACUGGGUGUAAAGGGAGCGUAGACGGCAGAGCAAGUCUGAAGUGAAAGCCCGGGGCUCAACCCUGGGACUGCUCUGGAAACUGUAAGGCUGGAGUGCGGGAGGGGCAGGCGGAAUUCCUGGUGUAGCGGUGAAAUGCGUAGAUAUCAGGAGGAACACCGGCGGCGAAGGCGGCCUGCUGGACCGUAACUGACGUUGAGGCUCGAAAGCGUGGGGAGCAAACAGGAUUAGAUACCCGUGUA